CGUAGGGGGCAAGCGUUGUCCGGAUUUAUUGGGCGUAAAGAGCGUGUAGGCGGCUUUGCAAGUCCGUUGUGAAAACUCGAGGCUCAACCUCGAGACGCCGGUGGAAACUGCAAAGCUAGAGUCCGGAAGAGGAGAGUGGAAUUCCUGGUGUAGCGGUGAAAUGCGCAGAUAUCAGGAAGAACACCCGUGGCGAAGGCGGCUCUCUGGGACGGUACUGACGCUGAGACGCGAAAGCGUGGGGAGCGAACAGG
rnacentral:rRNA from 1 species